AAUUCGCCCUUAGAGUUUGAUCCUGGCUCAGAUUGAACGCUGGCGGCAUGCCUUACACAUGCAAGUCGAACGGUAACGCGGGGCAACCUGGCGACGAGUGGCGAACGGGUGAGUAAUAUAUCGGAACGUGCCCAGUCGUGGGGGAUAACUGCUCGAAAGAGCAGCUAAUACCGCAUACGACCUGAGGGUGAAAGCGGGGGAUCUUCGGACCUCGCGCGAUUGGAGCGGCCGAUAUCAGAUUAGGUAGUUGGUGGGGUAAAGGCCUACCAAGCCGACGAUCUGUAGCUGGUCUGAGAGGACGACCAGCCACACUGGGACUGAGACACGGCCCAGACUCCUACGGGAGGCAGCAGUGGGGAAUUUUGGACAAUGGGGGCAACCCUGAUCCAGCCAUGCCGCGUGCGGGAAGAAGGCCUUCGGGUUGUAAACCGCUUUUGUCAGGGAAGAAAUCCUUUGGGCUAAUAACUCGGAGGGAUGACGG
rnacentral:rRNA from 1 species